rfam:Gossypium hirsutum cultivar TM-1 chromosome 26, whole genome shotgun sequence
AAUAGGAGAAUACAAAUAAGAUUUUUCCAUCCUGAUUUUCAAUAUUUUCCUCCUACAAAACUUCAAAUCCAACUAAAAAGGCUGAAAAUCAGAAGGAAAAAUUUUAUUUGUCAUUCUCUUAUU